rnacentral:rRNA from 1 species
AUGCUCGCCUACAAGCUGAUUCUGCCGCCGGACAGCCGCAUCCACAAUGUCUUCCACGUCUCCCAACUGAAGCCCUACACACCCAACUACACGCUGGUCUUCGCGGAGCUACCUAAGCCACCGGAUUUGUCCCUGACCGAGACGGCGCCAGUGGAGAUCCUGGACAUGCGCAUGGUCAAGCAAGGCAACGCCGCCCUGGUGCAAGUACACAUGCGCUGGUCUUCAUCUUCACCGUCGGCCACGACGUGGGAAGACUAUGACACCCUCAAGCUUCGUUUUUCGGCAACGGCAAUUUGGCAGGGAGCGGCGGAAGCGCUAGGUGACGCUCCUUCUGGUGGAGGGGGAGAUGUCACACCUGCACCUGCAAGUGCCACGGUGGACUAG